CCUACGGGGUGCAGCAGUGAGGAAUAUUGGUCAAUGGGCGGGAGCCUGAACCAGCCAAGCCGCGUGAGGGAAGAAGGUACAGCGUAUCGUAAACCUCUUUUGUCAGGGAACAAAGGCGGGGACUAGUCCCCGGAUGAGGGUACCUGAAGAAAAAGCAUCGGCUAACUCCGUGCCAGCAGCCGCGGUAAUACGGAGGAUGCGAGCGUUAUCCGGAUUUAUUGGGUUUAAAGGGUGCGCAGGCGGCCUGUUAAGUCAGCGGGAAAAGCCCGGGGCUCAACCCCGGCGAGCCGUUGAAACGGGCGGGCUGGAGUUGGAGAGAAGUACGCGGAAUGCGCGGGGUAGCGGUGAAAUGCUUAGAUAUCGCGCAGAACCCCGAUUGCGAAGGCAGCGUACCGGCUCCACACUGACGCUGAGGCACGAAAGCGUGGGUAUCGAACAGGAUUAGAUACCCGAGUAGUC
rnacentral:rRNA from 1 species